rnacentral:rRNA from 1 species
GCCCAGAGCCUGAAUCAGUGUGUGUGUUAGUGGAAGCGUCUGGAAAGGCGCGCGAUACAGGGUGACAGCCCCGUACACAAAAAUACACAUAUUGUGAGCUCGAUGAGUAGGGCGGGACACGUGGUAUCCUGUCUGAAUAUGGGGGGACCAUCCUCCAAGGCUAAAUACUCCUGACUGACCGAUAGUGAACCAGUACCGUGAGGGAAAGGCGAAAAGAACCCCGGCGAGGGGAGUGAAAAAGAACCUGAAACCGUGUACGUACAAGCAGUGGGAGCACGCUUAGGCGUGUGACUGCGUACCUUUUGUAUAAUGGGUCAGCGACUUAUAUUCUGUAGCAAGGUUAACCGAAUAGGGGAGCCGAAGGGAAACCGAGUCUUAACUGGGCGUUAAGUUGCAGGGUAUAGACCCGAAACCCGGUGAUCUAGCCAUGGGCAGGUUGAAGGUUGGGUAACACUAACUGGAGGACCGAACCGACUAAUGUUGAAAAAUUAGCGGAUGACUUGUGGCUGGGGGUGAAAGGCCAAUCAAACCGGGAGAUAGCUGGUUCUCCCCGAAAGCUAUUUAGGUAGCGCCUCGUGAAUUCAUCUCCGGGGGUAGAGCACUGUUUCGGCA